AUGACUCCUGAAUGUAUAAAUAGUUUGGGGGUUGACGUUGUUUCAGAUGAACAGAACCAAGAUACAAAACUAAUCUGAUCGAGCCAAAUAUCUAUUGAAAGAAAAGCCAUCAUUCAGGUUAGCUAAGAAGCACAGUAUCACUAUCUCUAGAAAUAAAUGAAACAAAAUGCUGUUUGAGAAUUAUAAAAGUUGAGCAGUGAUCUCACAGGUAUGGAAAAAAAAGUGAAUAUUGUAUGGAAAACAAAGGAAGAAAUGCAUGAGAAUCCCAUGGCAUGCACAUUCCUGGACAUGUUUCAGCAGUUGGCAGAUGUGUUCUUUGCAUGGGCUUCUCUGGAGGUUUUAGUUGCAGUAAGAGUUUCUAUUGCAAAGAAAAAGGUUCCAUCAGCAAAAGAAGCAUUCUCUGAGGAUGUUGAGUUCAGGAGCCAGUUUUGCUGGCAAGGACUACCCUAUACUCCAGGGGAAAAGUCCCUUCUACCACCACACAUACACACACAUUACUAAGGGAAAGUAUUUAGCGUUAUUAAGUUUAAAUAGAAACUUACUGUGAAAGGCAAUCUUUACAUACUGCACAAAUAUGUACUGAAAUGUAUUCUUUUGUCAACAGAAGUGCUGGAGCUAGAAUUUUAAAAAGGAAUUCAAUAAAAUGGGAUUUGCUUUAAAUGAAGUCUAUCUCACUGAAAAUGGCCAUAGUGUUUCCAGUAGAGGGCUCUCUGAAAAGAAAAGAAAUGGCCUGAUUAUCUGGCUGCCUUCAUUUAAACUACCUGAUUGAAUGUCUUCAUGGUGUGACAGUUAUCUUCAAGUCCCUUUCUUAUGGACUCAUUUGAUUUUAUCAUUCAGCUUUCAGUAGCUGAACUAUAUGGAACAGAUUACUCCAACUGAAGGCAUUGCUUACCACAUUCAUAACAUGGAAAGAUGCUAUUUUUUUUAUAGUCCCUGAUGAACAAUGAAUCAGGAUGAACGAAGUUGACUUUCUUUCUCAGGGCAAGAAAUACUUAUAUUUUCCCAGUAUUUGCUCAGGAAAAGGGAAUCUAUUAUUGAUAUUUUAAUCCAGAAUAUAUAGUAUCAAAGAAAAGAUAACAUGAGAGUCAACAAACUAUAACAAAAUUGCUUAUAAAAAUAUCAACAUAAACAUUGAAAACUAUCUACUAUUUGUAUAUGAAGGUGUGAAUGCAUAUGACUAUUUGUGUGUGGCUACAUCCUGAGUGGGGAAGGUAACAGGAGAGGCCCAGUUUCCUAUACUUAAAAUCCUUUGUUAGGAGUAGCCAUCUGGUGUAUGGUAGCUCUCUUCCUAGUUGCCUCUCUCUCCCUAGAUCAUAAUCAUCAAAUUUCCUUCAUGUAUUCAUUUCAAGCCCCUUACCCAUGAACCCUUGAAACAAUAGAUGAGCUUGAACCUUAUGUAUACUUUUUGUUUCUUAUAUACUCACAAUAUGACAAAGUUUUAAUUAAUACAUUGCAUAACAGGGAGGUGGCAACAUUUAUCUGUCUUUUCCUGUAUGUUUUGCUUUUCUAUUGGAUAUUUUCUUUAUUUAUAUUUCAAAUGUUAUCCCCUUUCCCGGUUUCCCCUACAAAACCAUCCUCCCCCAUCUCCUACCCACUCCCUCUGCUCACCAACUCACCCACUCCUGCUUCCUGGCCCUGGCAUUCCCCACACUGGUGCAUAGAGCCUUCAUAGGACAAAGGACCUCUCCUCCCAUUGAUGUCCGACUAGGCCAUCCUCUGCUACAUAUGCAGCUGGAACCAUUCCUGUAUUUCUUUAAGGGAGUUAUUUAUACCCUCCUUAAAAUCCUCUAUCAGCUCUUGAGAUGGGGUUUUAGGUCAGAAUCUUGCUCUUCAGAUUGUUAUGGUAGCCAGGGAUUGCUACUGUAGGAGAACUGGGUUCUGAUAAUGUCAGAUUGCAUUGACUUCUAGUGCAUAGGUUUCUUCACUUGCCUUUUGCCUUCCGGUUCUCUCUAGUGUUAACUGGCCUGGUGUCUCCGACUGGAGCAAGCCUCCUGGGUGACAGGUAGAGCUGUGUGACCUUAGUUAGAACAGGCCUUCUGAUAAGCAGGCAGUGCUGCCUCUGGUUAGAGCAGGCCUCUUACAUCUCUGUACACUUCCGGAAUCUCAUGGUGGUGGAGGAGAGGCAGCAGGAGAAUGGAGCUGCUCCUGGUCUGGCAGGCUCAGGAUAGUUUGGCUUGUCCCAGAAUGGCUCAGACAGCAAGGAAAAUGGGUCUUGAAAACUUAUUAAAGGAAACAUUUUAAAUAAAAUAGCAGUAUCCAUACAAAGUAAGACUCAGUGUCAGUAUCAUUUCCCAAUUGUCAAUAGACUUUCCUUAUUUGACUCAUACUUUAACACAAACAUGAUGCUUUUUAAUGAAAAAAAAAUACCACUCCUUCAUUGCUACAAUGUGCAAGAAUUGAAGUUUUAUUAAAUUUCCUUAUUCUUAACAGCACGAUAUAGUUAUUAAUUAAAAUUUUUCAUUAAUAAUAUUUUAUUUUUAUUUUAAAUUUAUUUAUUUAUUUAUUUUUCAUUUAUUCAUUUAUAUUUUCAUUCUAGGUUUUAUCCCUACCCCACCCCAGUCUACCCUCUUUCUGUUCUACAUCCCAUACCUUUUCCCUACCCACUGACUCCCAGUCUCCACGAGAAUGUCCUUACCCCCAUCUCCCACCCAACCUGACCACCAAACUCCCUGGGGCCUCCAGUCUCCAGCACUCAUUCAUAAUAUUUAAAAUGAUAAAUUCUAAGAUAAAUGUUUCCUAACUUAUAAUGGGUAAAUUCUUCCAAUUUGUAACAUUUCACUUGAUUCUGAGUCUAUAUUUUCCAAAGCUCAUAUCAUUGCAAUUAAAUACUAAAAAAAAUUGAAUCUAUACAAUUUUAGACUAAUCUUAUCUUGAUGGCAAGUAAUUACUGCCACAGAAUAGAAUAACCAUGCAAAUAUUCAUUGGAAAUAAUUCUAAUAAUUUUCUUUCAACUGGGAUUUCCCUCUCUCUCUGUUUUUCUGUCUCUGCCUCUGUCUCUGUCUCUCUUUCUGUGUGUUGGUGUGUGUGUAUGCAUGUCUGUGUAUGGUAUGUGUUGACUUACUAUUCAACCUGAUAUCCAACAUAUGACCUGGAAAAUAAAGACAAACAGAUAUACACACGUACAUAUAAAUAUAUACUAUGUGAAUAUAUUUUUAAAUAUAAUUACAAUGUCAAGAAAUCAAUAGUGGUCAUGAAGCACAUAAAGUUUUGUGUUUUAUUUAGGUUCUUUACUAUAUUUUUCUAAUUACGUAGUGGUCUUGUUUUCUAUUUCUUAAAAUUUCAAUUCACUCUUUUAAGUUUAACUAAAUAAACAAUUAUCUGUUUUAUAUAUAUAUAUAUAUAUAUAUAUAUAUAUAUAUAUAUAUAUAUAUAUAUAUAAAAGCACAUAUAUUUUACUUUAUAUUAAGUAUAUAUUAAAUAUAAGCAUUUUUAUUGCAUGUGUGUGUGUGUUAAAACUGCUAUUAUAUGAUUAUAUGCUUGGUAAUGUUUGCAGAUACAAUUUUAAUAAAACCACACAUUUUUUAUCUUAUCUAAGAAUUAUCAGGCAAAACAUACAUGGGUAAUGACAUAUGAAGAAAAACAAACAAACAAAAAACAACCAACCAACC
rnacentral:lncRNA from 1 species